UAACUUCACCCCACGUGAGCUAAACCGUACCACGCGCAGCAAGCCCGAACCGGCUCGGUAGGCAACGUCAGAGAAUAGCAGGCAGGUACAAACAACAGAAGUGGUAUUGGAGACGCAGUAAAGCAACUACCAAGGAGUCAGUCCUGAAACGAUUCAAGAAAGAUGGCGGACGACCCCACCGCAGCAGACAGAAACGUGGAGAUCUGGAAGAUUAAGAAGUUGAUCAAAAGUCUUGAAGCUGCCAGAGGGAAUGGCACGAGUAUGAUCUCUCUCAUCAUUCCUCCGAAGGACCAGAUUUCUCGAGUGGCCAAGAUGUUGGCUGAUGAAUUUGGCACAGCCUCCAAUAUCAAAAGCAGAGUCAACCGGCUCUCU